UACCUGGUUGAUCCUGCCAGUAGUCAUAUGCUUGUCUCAAAGAUUAAG
rnacentral:rRNA from 34 species